AUCUUGCUUUAACCUUGAUUGCAAUGUAGAGAUCGGUGUAGAAAUGUUCAGCACCGGCGAACAUCAGUCGGCUUUUAAAAAUAGUCCGCGUGCAGAUAGAAAUGCCGCUGGCCUUUUGUGCGCGCGCACAGCCAAUGAGCGCGGAGCUGGCGGGUCAGAGCGCGCGCGCGUUUCUCCCCUUUCUGCCCAACUCUGACCUUGAGGGAGACAAUAAAAGAGGGUCAGAGCGCGCCUGGGGCAAGCCGAGCCACCGUGAGCCUUCCACAGGUGUUUUGAGGACCAGUCUCGCGUCCCGGAGUGUUUACUUGCGUCCAGCUUUAUGGAGCUGAUUGAGUUCUUCGAGAGCGCGCAGAAGCAACCUGGGCCUGUGCACGCGCACGCGCAGGGAUUGGACGGUACUGUCUCAUCAAUCUGCGUCUCAAGCAGUGCAUCUCGUUUGGAAGCACACAACUAAACUAAAAAAAAACCUUAAAAUUGUAGGGAAAAACAGCAUUGCUUUGUGAUGAAUGACUUGCAGAAAUACCAUGUGGAAUUCAAUGCCAGAAAGGAUGCAGGUCUGGAUCCCUGAUCAGUUGGAAGCCACAAUGUGGAGAUUAAAACAAAUCAGAUGUAAAGAAGAUAUUCACAGAACCUCCUCACGGCUGUUCGAUGUGACAGAGAACCAUAACAAAUGGCUACCAGUCUACACUACUGCUGACAUCUCUGAUUUAAGAAGCUCAGAUGCUUGAAAUUAUAUCUGCUUCAUUGCUGACAAUGCACACCAUGACUUGCUAGAAUUAAGCAGAAGCAGUAAGUCACUCUACACAUCCCUCCUUCAGAAGUUCUUCAUUGGACCUCUUGACUUGAAAUGGCUGGAUUUGAGCUCUCCGAAGCAAGUUUUUGAGCAGUUGUACAUCAGUUUCACAACUGACAAACUUAAGCAGGUUUUUUUUAACCAGCACAUGUUCAUCUUGGAGCAGGAGGAAUAUAACAGGUGGCACUGAAUGGACUUUAUUGACGAUGGCUUAGACCUGCAUUGACCUCAUUGACUAGGAGAAUCCUAAACUGAUGGCCAACCAGAGGAGCACUCAGUCUAACUUUGAAUGCAACAGCAUUUCUGAAAUGCAGACCUACUGAAACUUGCACCCUGCAUCUACUAUUCCAAAGGACAAAUUGUACAGUGGGACAAUGAGACAAUGAGAUUGUAGAGAAACUUCUAAGUUUGCUGUAUACUAACCACAUGCAAUACAGGUUAGCCAACACAAUGGUUAAAAUGGAUCUUAAUCUGUUCUUCUAAGUUUCUCCCUUCUAUAAUUUCUUCACCCUGAGUUCAUGAAUUUGUUCCUCCUCAUCUGCUUGAUCACGCAGAAGAUAUGAGCGAUUAGCAGAUAACAAAGAUUACCGCCAUGCUGUAGUAAUUCUGCUUAUGAUGAUUGAGGAAAAUAAUAAGCCUUCAAGUAUUUUUUGCAUACUUAAGUCAAAAUUAUUAACCGGUAACUUUGCGUCAGGAAAAAGAAUACUGAAAUAUUGAGUGUAUUGAAUGUAGUGUCAUGUAGAUUGUAUAUUUGGAUUUUUUUUUAUCAUAGUGCUUAACAGUUGAAUGUGUUUUUGUAUGGCUGCAAUUUUAAGGAGCUAUGAGAGGAAUGUGUGAGGUAUGUUUAGUCUGUGAUGUGGCGUGUGUCCAACAUGUGUCCACAAACGCGUCCAUGAUUGUGUGUGGCCCCUUUGAAAGAAGCCUGUUAAACCCCUUCUACCCCAAAUAGCAUUGACAAAAGCAGGUGUGGUGGUGGGUCAUGUGGUGGCUCAAAGGAACCCCGUGCCAGUUGUUGAGUAUUCUUUCCCAGUAUGACCCCCAUCCCCACAUUAUAAAUAACCCUCACUGCUUUGUUAGGAAUAGUUGCUGUCAAUAGCAUACGCAUUGCUGAGAUGCCAGCUCAGGUGAUUGAGGAUUAAGUCCUCUUGUUUCACCAUUGAGUUGGGUUGCAGAUAAUCAACAACCUCUCUCCAACCUCUGACCGAGUGUCUCUGAUUGUCAUGCCAUGCCAGCAAUGCGGAAUUGAUUUACUUUCCAGGCAUGUCUAGUGUCACCAUGGGCUUACUGAUAUAGAACACAAGACACAAUGGCGUGUGCUAGUCUGACCCUAUUUGGUGCUGGCCUCACUGAGCUAAUUUAGAACAAUGGGGAGGAGAGAUUGAGUUCCACUAUCAAAAAGGAGGCUGUCACUCCUAAACUUGUACCCAAAUGAAAAGGAAGAAUACUUACUGCUAAAUGCCGUAAAUGUAAACAUACUGUACACUAAUACAUUUAUAGGACUUGGAUUGAUCCUUUAUUUUAUGCACUGUUUGAACUAGUUUGCCCACUAUGCACUUUCUGUGGCUAGGACAACUACUUCGUAGCACCCUAGUCUUGGAGGAACGUUUUAUUUUAGUAUGCACUGUCAGGUAUACAUGGUUGAAAUGGCAAUAAAAAGCUUCUGAACUUGUCCUUUUUCCAAAAGAAAGCAGAGAACUCAGGAUGUGGAUUGGUUAAAUAGGCAAGACAGUCCAUUAGAGCAAAUGUAAAAAUCUCUGGAUUAAGAGUGACAUCCAGGCACACUGGAGGAGCCUUUUUGUUUGAAGUGGAUGAAGAUUGUGUAGAAAGGCCUAAUUGAGAUUUUUUUUUUUGAGAGGAAAAAAAAAUUGAGAAUUGAGCUGUAAUGUCAACACAACUAUAUUAACUACAAUGAAGGGUUGGUUAAAUCCAAUAUCAACAUAGAUAUUUAUCCUCUUCAUAUAUUAUCUAUACGUAUGCAAGUUACAUGAAGGCCAAGUAGCAUGAACAAAUAAAAGCAAUGGAGCUCGACGGGUAUAUAGUCAUCUGUAUGAUGUGGCAGUAACAGUUCAACAUAACAGCUGGUUGUUGGUCUGGAAAAGGUCCAAAUAGAUAUUGAACAAAUUGGCCAAAAUGUGCAAAUCCUGGUGAAAUGAAAGGACAAGACCAUCCUGAGCUAUUUCAGAAAGAUCUACCACAGUGCAGGACAGAGCAGACAUGGACGACUGGUAAUUUCUCAUGAAUUCUCAUGAAACAGACAUAUCGUCCAGCCAUGAUUGCUCCUAUAUUUAGAGCAGGUGACUUCACACAGUGAUGAAGCAUGCUUCUGAUUAAAUUUUUGGUUUUCACUUUGCUCUAGCCAAGGAUUCUUACUUGUUAGCAAUGUAGAUGGGCAAAGAUCAGAACUUUUGUGGUAUGCAGUAGAGCUUUCAUAUAGUAAAAUGAAGUUUUUCAAAACUCGCAGAUGUUUCAAAGGCUGCCUGAGCACAAAAAUGACUAGAAAUUUUGAAUAAAGCAAAAUGAAAGAGAAUUGUUGGUGUGACAUAUAUAUGCAAUGUUUUGAAAAUUAAAGAAUGUUAAUAA